UUAUGGUGUACCUCUGUGGUUCUACCUACUGAACUGGCCAGAACCGAACCAGAUAUCCUUCUUAAAUCUUGUCAGAUGUGGCAACUAUCUGAGGGACCUUUUUACUACAAAGGGAAGUCUUACAGUGUGAGCAGGUAGUACUGCAGAUACCCGAGAUGAAACUUUGCCCAUGGGAAUAAGUAUGCAUGAAAUUAAUAUGGCUAGUACACAAAGUCACUGGCUUGAAUCCUGGAGACAAGAUAUUCAUGAGGGACCUGUGUGGGGAAUUUACAUCUCAGUGCAGAGUUUUCCUCUCCAUUUGUCAUCAUGCCAGCUGGUGGAAUGCCUCACUGGAGCUGUGAAUCAUGUUCUGCAUGCCCUAGUCUCCUGUCGGAGCUGGACUCCCUGGCUGGACUACACCUCCCACAAUGCACUGUGCUCAUGGAACUCCUAUGCUGCAUCACAUCAGUUCAUCCAAAGAAGAGAUCAGGGUGGAUCAUGAGAGAUGUAAUUGAGAUCAUCACAACACAGAAGUAUG